UGGGGAAUAUUGCACAAUGGGCGCAAGCCUGAUGCAGCCAUGCCGCGUGUGUGAAGAAGGCCUUCGGGUUGUAAAGCACUUUCAGCGAGGAGGAAGGUGGUGAGCUUAAUACGCUCAUCAAUUGACGUUACUCGCAGAAGAAGCACCGGCUAACUCCGUGCCAGCAGCCGCGGUAAUACGGAGGGUGCAAGCGUUAAUCGGAAUUACUGGGCGUAAAGCGCACGCAGGCGGUUUGUUAAGUCAGAUGUGAAAUCCCCGGGCUCAACCUGGGAACUGCAUUUGAAACUGGCAAGCUAGAGUCUCGUAGAGGGGGGUAGAAUUCCAGGUGUAGCGGUGAAAUGCGUAGAGAUCUGGAGGAAUACCGGUGGCGAAGGCGGCCCCCUGGACGAAGACUGACGCUCAGGUGCGAAAGCGUGGGGAGUAAACAGGAUUAGAUACCCUGGUAGUCCACGCUGUAAACGAUGUCGAUUUUGGAGGUUGUGCCCCUUGAGGCGUGGNUUCCGGAGCUAACGCGUUAAAUCGACCGCCUGGGGAGUACGGCCNCAAGGUUAAAACUUAAAUGAAUUGC
rnacentral:rRNA from 1 species